rnacentral:lncRNA from 1 species
GAGGAAGGAGCCCAUUCUUGAUUUAUUUAGGAUGAUGCAACCAUUGGGAGGAAAAGAAGCAAACAGAGGCAAUGGGAGGAAGCAGCCAGCGACGAAGCUGCUCUCCCUGUGUGCCUGGAAGAAGAGGCCUCACAAAGCUGAGCAAGGAAGAGGAGAAUUAAAGCUUGGGGACCGAUUCCGCAGAGGUUGAUGUCUAAACUGUCAGGAAGGACGGGCACAUCACCAGCAGAGUUGUGGCACCAGCGAGGAGUGGGGACAACCGCCUGCCAGAGGAAGUAGAGGAGAGGCUCACAGCGGACUGUGACUGUGUUCGUCCCCGGCUCUUUGGGUUUCCUGGAGUUGUUAUCUGCUUGGGCUCUGCACCACACGGCUCCAGGAGCACCACUCUCGCAGCCUGCCCUGGACACCAGCCCCCCGGGGUAACGAAGUGUGCUGGCUCUGUUGAAUUGCCUUUCUUCUUGCUUCAUUCACCUUUUACUCUCCCCGUAGCCUCUGUCCCUUCUCUCUUUUUCUUUGCAGAGGCUUUGCGGUGUCAUGGACAUCUGAUGUUCUUCCAAGUACACCUCUGCUGCCCCCCUCGGUGUCUCCUCACUAGGGCUCCGCCUCUCUGCUCUCCUCUGGCUUCUUGCUCUGCAGGCUGCAAUAGAGCUGUCAUGUGGGUGGGAUCCACCCUUAUCAGGGAUCCCCAGUGUCAUCUUCCUUGUCCAUCGCCUUGUUUUACUGGAGCAGAAAUGUGUGCACAGCCAGCUGUCUUCCUGGGGAGUUGCCUUACACUUGAUUGACAGUUCAGUUGGGCAUGGAGUUCUAGAUUGAAAGCCAGUCCCUUCUGGAAUUUUAAAAACAAUUACCUAAGAUUUUGUUUUUGAAGAGAAAUGAUGGCGUGAUUCUCUUGUUUGUAGAGGACUGUUCCUCUUUCUCUAGGGGAGUUUUUGGAAUCUGUCCUUGUACUGAAAUUUCAAAAUAUUUUAGUCUCUUCUUUCUCUUACAGGUAUGGGGUAGACACUUCACAGUCCCUUUCAAA